UACAGAGGUCCCAAGCGUUGUUCGGAUUCACUGGGCGUAAAGGGUGCGUAGGCGGCUUGAUAAGUCUGAUGUGAAAUCCCGCAGCUUAACUGCGGAACUGCAUUGGAUACUGUUUGACUAGAGGAAUGGAGGGGAGACUGGAAUACUUGGUGUAGCAGUGAAAUGCGUAGAUAUCAAGUGGAACACCAGUGGCGAAGGCGGGUCUCUGGACAGUUCCUGACACUGAGACACGAAGGCCAGGGGAGCAAACGGG
rnacentral:rRNA from 1 species